rnacentral:rRNA from 1 species
UACGUAGGGUGCAAGCGUUGUCCGGAAUUAUUGGGCGUAAAGGGCUCGUAGGCGGCCAACUAAGUCCGACGUGAAAUCCCAAAGCUUAACUUUGGAACUGCGUCGGAUACUGGAUGGCUUGAAUUCGGGAGAGGGAUGCAGAAUUCCAGGUGUAGCGGUGAAAUGCGUAGAUAUCUGGAGGAACAUCAGUGGCGAAGGCGGCCUUCUGGUCCAGUACUGACACUCAAGUGCGAAAGCGUGGGGAGCAAACAGG